UAACGCUGGGGAAUCCAUUUACGGAUACC
rnacentral:sRNA from 1 species